rnacentral:rRNA from 1 species
UGAAGUGGCAUCACUUUAUUAUUAAAGAUUUAUCACUCGAAGAUGGCUGUGCGGCUGAUUAGGUAGUUGGCGGAAGUAACGGCCCACAAGCCUGCGAUCAGUAACUGGUGUGAGAGCACGACCAGUCACACGGGCACUGCGACACGGGCCCGACUCCUACGGGAGGCAGCAGUAAGGAAUAUUGGUCAAUGGAGGCAACUCUGAACCAGCCAUGCCCGCGUGGAGGAUGAAGGUCCUCUGGAUUGUAAACUUCUUUAUAUGGGACGAAAAAGGCUUUCUAAGUCGUCUGACGGUACCAUAUGAAUAAGCACCGGCUAACUCCGUG